AUGACCGGCGCCGUGGUCGCGUCCGAGGGUGGCGGCGGCGGGGGUAGCUGCUGUUGCCCAGGCCCAUUAGGCCCAUUACGUACUCUAACAACGGGUAAUAUGCUUUCUGAAAUUUUGUGUAAGACCAUAUGUGCCUUGAACUGUCACAAUGAUUGUUGCGUCUCUUCAAGCUUAUCAGCUGAUGUCAAAGUUGGAGCUGAUUCUUGGGAGGGGCAUUUCGAUAAAAUUUCUCCGGAAGAGAGGAGCAAAUUUGAUGAAGAAACACUUUACAACUUGGAGGGAAUCAAGAGGAAGAAAGAGUACUCCAAGAAACCAGAUGGCUUCAGCAAUGAAUAUAUAGUGGUAACCAUCCUAAUGGCUGUUGAUGGAGCACUGAAGUUCCCAGAAAUCAAAAGACCCGCUGAUCUGGUAGCAGUACUGGAAAAGCUUAAUUCUAUACCUGCAAGCGGAAUCCAGGGCGUUAAUGUUUUAUGGACUCCUCAAGAAGAGAAUGACGUUCUUUCUGAAGAGAGGCUUCUUGCGGAUUAUCCUAAUCUGAAGCCCCUGAGUGAUUACUAG
rnacentral:rRNA from 1 species